rnacentral:lncRNA from 1 species
AUUUGGUCCGUUCAAAAGCCUACACAUCACAAAUGACGUAAUCUACGUGUUCAUAUAAGAAUUCGACACUUUCAAAUCCGUUAACUUAAAAUUGACCAUUGAGUUCAUUUUCUAUACGUUCAAAAACGUUAAUGAGCAUUCAAUGCUUGUUUUCUUCGUUUUAAGUUGGAAUUCGACGAUUCUCGAACCCACAACUCUUAAUCACCCUAUCUCACGUGUUGAAAUUGAAAACCAACGUUUUCAAGUCUCACGGCAACUUUUGACCCUUAAUCCGGAAUUCAAC